UCUUGGAGAUGAUGAUUAUCAGAGGCUGUUUCUGAGGAUGAGUCUAGAGCUCUCCCAAUGCUGCAAAUAACUGAGUUGCCUUGCUGAUCCAAAA
rfam:Brachypodium distachyon strain Bd21 chromosome 2, whole genome shotgun sequence.